rnacentral:rRNA from 1 species
UUAGGAAUCAUCUGCAAUGCGCGCAAGCGUGACAGUUUGAACUGGAGUGAUUUCCACAUGGAAAUCUUUUGUGAAAUGUAAAAAGUUUCACGAAUAAGGACUGGGUAAGACGAGUGCCAGCCGCCGCGGUAAUACUCGCGGUCCAAGUCGCAGCCAUUUUUAUUGGGUCUAAAACAUCCGUAGCUUGCUUUGCAAGUUCUUUGUGAAAUCCCGUUUCUCAAGGGCGGGGCGAGCAAAGAAUACUACAAAGCUAGAGACUGGAAGACGUAAGAAGUAUGUUCGAAGUAGCGGUAAAAUGUGUUAAUCUCGGACAGACUAACAAGAGCGAAGGCAUCUUACGAGGACAGUUCUGACAGUAAGGGAUGAAGGCCAAGGGCGCAAAAG